rnacentral:rRNA from 1 species
AGAACGACUCUCGGCAACGGAUAUCUCGGCUCUCGCAUCGAUGAAGAACGUAGCGAAAUGCGAUACUUGGUGUGAAUUGCAGAAUCCCGUGAACCAUCGAGUCUUUGAACGCAAGUUGCGCCCGAAGCCAUCCGGCCGAGGGCACGUCUGCCUGGGCGUCACGC